CGAACGGUAAGGCCCUUCGGGGUACACGAGUGGCGAACGGGUGAGUAACACGUGGGUGAUCUGCCCUGCACUUCGGGAUAAGCCCGGGAAACUGGGUCUAAUACCGGAUAGUACUGCGCGGUGCAUGCCGUGUGGUGGAAAGAUUUAUCGGUGCAGGAUGGGCCCGCGGCCUAUCAGCUUGUUGGUGAGGUAAUGGCCUACCAAGGCGACGACGGGUAGCCGGCCUGAGAGGGCGACCGGCCACACUGGGACUGAGACACGGCCCAGACUCCUACGGGAGGCAGCAGUGGGGAAUAUUGCACAAUGGGCGCAAGCCUGAUGCAGCGACGCCGCGUGAGGGAUGACGGCCUUCGGGUUGUAAACCUCUUUCAGCAGGGACGAAGCGCAAGUGACGGUACCUGCAGAAGAAGCACCGGCCAACUACGUGCCAGCAGCCGCGGUAAUACGUAGGGUGCAAGCGUUGUCCGGAAUUACUGGGCGUAAAGAGCUCGUAGGCGGUUUGUCGCGUCGUCUGUGAAAACCAGCAGCUCAACUGUUGGCUUGCAGGCGAUACGGGCAGACUUGAGUAUUUCAGGGGAGACUGGAAUUCCUGGUGUAGCGGUGAAAUGCGCAGAUAUCAGGAGGAACACCGGUGGCGAAGGCGGGUCUCUGGGAAAUAACUGACGCUGAGGAGCGAAAGCGUGGGUAGCGAACAGGAUUAGAUACCCUGGUAGUCCACGCCGUAAACGGUGGG
rnacentral:rRNA from 1 species